CCUACGGGUGGCUGCAGUGAGGAAUAUUGGUCAAUGGGCGCGAGCCUGAACCAGCCAAGUAGCGUGAAGGAUGAAUGCCCUGCGGGUUGUAAACUUCUUUUAUAAAGGAAUAAAGUGAGGCACGUGUGCCUUUUUGAAUGUACUUUAUGAAUAAGGAACGGCUAACUCCGUGCCAGCAGCCGCGGUAAGCCGGAGGAUCCGAGCGUUAUCCGGAUUUAGUGGGUUUAAAGGGAGCGUAGAUGGGUUGUUAAGUCAGUUGGGAAAGUUUGCGGCUCAACCGGAAAAUUGCCAUUGAUACUGGCAGCCUUGAGUACAGUUGAGGUACGCGGAAUUCGUGGUGUAGCGG
rnacentral:rRNA from 1 species